rnacentral:tRNA from 1 species
AAAGGGAGACCUAAUUCAGGUAAAAGACGAAAAAAAAGUAGUCGCUACCAAGAAUCAAUCCCAAAAGGUCGGAGCGAGGCGAAAUUGGCUUUCAAACUAGGUUCUGGGUUCACACAAGACCUGAAUCAGGAACAAGGGCUAUUAGCUCAGGUGGUUAGAGCGCACCCCUGAUAAGGGUGAGGUCCCUGGUUCGAGUCCAGGAUGGCCCACCUGCACAGGUGGCAAAAACAAGAGAAGCUCCGAAUCAGCACCUUAUCUUACUGACAUAGUAAGAGAGAAUGCUGGCUCUGAGUAAAGAGUCCAGAGGAACCUUGAAAACUGCAUAGAGCUAGGUGAAAAAGCCAAAAAAGAAGACCGCAAG